rnacentral:rRNA from 1 species
GAUGAACGCUGGCGGCGUGCUUAACACAUGCAAGUCGAACGAUGAAGCCCAGCUUGCUGGGUGGAUUAGUGGCGAACGGGUGAGUAACACGUGAGUAACCUGCCCUUAACUCUGGGAUAAGCCUGGGAAACUGGGUCUAAUACCGGAUAGGAGCGUCCACCGCAUGGUGGGUGUUGGAAAGAUUUAUCGGUUUUGGAUGGACUCGCGGCCUAUCAGCUUGUUGGUGAGGUAAUGGCUCACCAAGGCGACGACGGGUAGCCGGCCUGAGAGGGUGACCGGCCACACUGGGACUGAGACACGGCCCAGACUCCUACGGGAGGCAGCAGUGGGGAAUAUUGCACAAUGGGCGCAAGCCUGAUGCAGCGACGCCGCGUGAGGGAUGACGGCCUUCGGGUUGUAAACUUCUUUCAGUAGGGAAGAAGCGAAAGUGACGGUACCUGCAGAAGAAGCACCGGCUAACUACGU